rnacentral:rRNA from 1 species
UACGGAAGGCAGCAGUGGGGAAUAUUGCACAAUGGGCGAAAGCCUGAUGCAGCUAUGCCGCGUGUAUGAAGAAGGCCUUAGGGUUGUAAAGUACUUUCAUCGGGGAGGAAAAAACAAAACUAAUAAUUUUAUUUCUUGACGUUACCCGAAAAAGAAGCACCGGCUAACUCCGUGCCAGCAGCCGCGGUAAUACGGAGGGUGCUAGCGUUAAUCAGAAUUACUGGGCGUAAAGAGCACGUAGGUGGUUUUUUUAAGUCAGAUGUGAAAUCCCUGGGCUUAACCUGGAACUGCAUUUUGAAACUGAAAUACUAGAGUAUCGUAGAGGGAGGUAGAAUUCUAGGUGUAGCGGUGAAAUGCGUAGAUAUCUGGAGGAAUACCUGUGGCGAAAGCGGCCUCCUAAACGAAUACUGACACUGAGGGUGCGAAAGCGUGGGGAGCAAACAGGGAUUAGAUACC